rnacentral:tRNA from 2 species
GCCCGGGUGGCGAAAUUGGUAGACGCACUCUUCGCGGGCGUGCUGGUUCGAAUCCAUUCCCGGGCA